AAAUAGGAAGCUAUAAUAGCGCCUAAUUUCGACUUAGUUUCUGAGAGUAGACUCUCUCCCUAUUUG
rnacentral:tRNA from 1 species